UCUUUAAAUCAGUACUUUGCAAGAGAUGUGUCAUAAAUGCUUUAGGUUUUUCAUUUUAUUUUUAGUGGGGCCUCUUAUCUUUUGCCCAGGUUUGUUGAGAUCAUCUGGACUUUGGUCAGGAAAUUAUCUACUAAUCCUAAUAGUGCUGCUAUAAUGGCCAUGGGUGUUAACAUCUUGGAAAAGAUGUUGAAAUGUUGCCCUUCAUACGUUUCUGCAGCAGCUGUUAAGGCAAAUUUAUUUGAUGUGGCUUUAAAUACAAAUAUUCUUGAUACUGGCUCUAAUGGUUCCUUGAGGCCAUACAGAUUGGCGCCACUAAAGUACUUUCAAUGCUGUUGAUGACAGCAGAUUUCUUGCCACCAUAUUUUUCUGCAAGCAGCUUUGAUCUAGAUGAUAAACAGGUUUAGCGUGUUCGAGUUAAUACAUUUUCUUUCCUGAUCAUUAAUUUUUUUAUUUGAACAACUGACCCAUUGUUUCUCAUUUAAUAUAUUUUAAUUAAUACAUUGUCUAGGUUGCUGAUUUGAAAGAUUCUGUAAGCUUUAUUCUACUAGAGCAAUCUGAAGAAAAUGAAGACUUAUUUGUUGCUACCAUCAAUCUUUUCACUUCUACUGCUCGUUAGCAGGUGUGCUACUUUUUGACAUUUGUAUAUGUUUUUUGGUGUCAAUAAGUGAAUCACUCUUAGGUAAUUUUCUGUUGUUUCAUUUUGGGAUUUCUCAUUAACUGUUUAUAUUGAACUUUGUGUUCUAUACAACCUGCUUUUUUUAUUGCUGUAUUUGCCACCAAAGAGUUUAUGGACGUCCAACCAGGUAAUGUUGGUGAUGGGAAGCUGCCAGCAAUUGAGGUUUCCUCUGGGCCAGUAGAGUUUAAAAGUUCAAGCCUUGUAGAUGCAGUACUUUGUUAUGUUGUAAAUUCUAACAGUCAUAUCAAUAAUUAAGUUCUCCCAG